UUACUUGCAGCUGCAGCAUUAUCAAGAUUCACAUAGAAAUCAUCUGGAGCAAAAUAUAUGUUUCUAAAAAUCUUCCCCCUAAGUUUUUUGAAUAUGAGAAUCUUGAUGAUGUUGCAUCGGCAAAUAA
rfam:Nicotiana attenuata strain TT scaffold05568, whole genome shotgun sequence.